AUGAACGCUGGCGGCGUGCUUAACACAUGCAAGUCGAGCGAAGCACUUAGGAAAGAUUCUUCGGAUGAUUUCCUAUUUGACUGAGCGGCGGACGGGUGAGUAACGCGUGGGUAACCUGCCUCAUACAGGGGGAUAACAGUUAGAAAUGACUGCUAAUACCGCAUAAGACCACAGCACCGCAUGGUGCAGAGGUAAAAACUCCGGUGGUAUGAGAUGGACCCGCGUCUGAUUAGUUAGUUGGUGGGGUAACGGCCUACCAAGGCGACGAUCAGUAGCCGACCUGAGAGGGUGACCGGCCACAUUGGGACUGAGACACGGCCCAAACUCCUACGGGAGGCAGCAGUGGGGAAUAUUGCACAAUGGGGGAAACCCUGAUGCAGCGACGCCGCGUGAGCGAAGAAGUAUUUCGGUAUGUAAAGCUCUAUCAGCAGGGAAGAAAAUGACGGUACCUGACUAAGAAGCCCCGGCUAACUACGUGCCAGCAGCCGCGGUAAUACGUAGGGGGCAAGCGUUAUCCGGAUUUACUGGGUGUAAAGGGAGCGUAGACGGAGCAGCAAGUCUGAUGUGAAAACCCGGGGCUCAACCCCGGGACUGCAUUGGAAACUGUUGAUCUGGAGUGCCGGAGAGGUAAGCGGAAUUCCUAGUGUAGCGGUGAAAUGCGUAGAUAUUAGGAGGAACACCAGUGGCGAAGGCGGCUUACUGGACGGUAACUGACGUUGAGGCUCGAAAGCGUGGGGAGCAAACAGGAUUAGAUACCCUGGUAGUCCACACCGUAAACGAUGGAUACUAGGUGUAGGGGAUAUUAAGUCUUCUGUGCCGUCGCAAACGCAGUAAGUAUCCCACCUGGGGAGUACGGCCGCAAGGUUGAAACUCAAAGGAAUUGACGGGGGCCCGCACAAGCAGUGGAGUAUGUGGUUUAAUUCGACGCAACGCGAAGAACCUUACCAAGUCUUGACAUCCUGCGACGAUGCUGGAAACAGUAUUUUCCUUCGGGACGCAGAGACAGGUGGUGCAUGGUUGUCGUCAGCUCGUGUCGUGAGAUGUUGGGUUAAGUCCCGCAACGAGCGCAACCCCUAUCUUCAGUAGCCAGCGGUAAGGCCGGGCACUCUGGAGAGACUGCCAGGGAUAACCUGGAGGAAGGUGGGGAUGACGUCAAAUCAUCAUGCCCCUUAUGAGCAGGGCUACACACGUGCUACAAUGGCGUAAACAAAGGGAAGCGAACCCGCGAGGGUGGGCAAAUCCCAAAAAUAACGUCUCAGUUCGGAUUGUAGUCUGCAACUCGACUACAUGAAGCUGGAAUCGCUAGUAAUCGCGAAUCAGAAUGUCGCGGUGAAUACGUUCCCGGGUCUUGUACACACCGCCCGUCACACCAUGGGAGUCAGUAACGCCCGAAGUCAGUGACCCAACCGAAAGGAGGGAGCUGCCGAAGGUGGGACCGAUAACUGGGGUG
rnacentral:rRNA from 1 species